UGUGCCGAAAUGUGCCGAGAAAAAAAACAUUUUUUUGGCCACACUGGUCAUGAUUAGCUAUUUGGCAUCACGGGGAAAACGUUUACGUCUUGUGAAAAAAAAAAACAAAAAUAAAUAACGCUUCGAACGGCAGCAUUUUUUGCAGGUAAAUUUAUUCCGUUUGAUAUCGCAGUCAUCUCCGGAGACCUCAGUGGAUAUAACACGCAGGAAGACAUAUUUAAAUAUGUUUAAAGUUACGCUACCCGUGCGUCGCUUACGCCACCCACAACGGAAACUCAUCAUAGGACUAUCACUGCCAUCGGGACUGGCUGGUAUCACCACAAGUGACCGGCAUAGUACUAGUUCCACAACAUAACGUCCCGAAUAUCUGGGAAAACCUCCAGCCAGUCAGCAGUCGCACGAGAUCGGACCAUCAUUCAACUACUAUUUUUGAACGUGCUUCGGAACGAUGUCGACUUUGCCGAACCUUUUGUCGCAAUGGAUCGAUAGCAUGCUCAACCUGAAUAGUUUCUUCAUCAGAUGGCCGUUCCAAAAGUACUUUUCAACAACAUCGGAAGGACAUCUCAAAGUGGCUGAGGACCCGGCGGCAAACAACUGAAAACAGUAACAAUGUGAACCUGCUAGCUGGUAACAAUCGACGUUGUCAUCAUUCUUUACAGAAAUAAGAAUUUUAUGAGAAAAAUUAUGAAUAACUUUAUAUUUGUAUAUUUUAAUGCAUAAACGAAUAAAACUGGGUUUAGAGAA